rnacentral:rRNA from 1 species
AUUGAACGCUGGCGGCAGGCCUAACACAUGCAAGUCGAAUGGUAACAGGAAACAGCUUGCUGUUUCGCUGACGAGUGGCGGACGGGUGAGUAAUGUCUGGGAAACUGCCUGAUGGAGGGGGAUAACUACUGGAAACGGUAGCUAAUACCGCAUAACGUCGCAAGACCAAAGAGGGGGACCUUCGGGCCUCUUGCCAUCAGAUGUGCCCAGAUGGGAUUAGCUAGUAGGUGGGGUAACGGCUCACCGAGGCGACGAUCCCUAGCUGGUCUGAGAGGAGGACCAGCCACACUGGAACUGAGACACGGUCCAGACUCCUACGGGAGGCAGCAGUGGGGAAUAUUGCACCAUUGGCGCAUGCCUGAUGCAGCCAUGCCGCGUGUAUGAAGAAGGCCUUCGGGUUGUAAAGUACUUUCAGCGGGGAGGAAGGGAGUAAAGUUAAUACCUUUGCUCAUUGACGUUACCCGCAGAAGAAGCACCGGCUAACUCCGUG